GACGAACGCUGGCGGCGUGCCUAACACAUGCAAGUCGAACGAGGUCCAUGCAGUGGCAACACUGCGGAAGACCUAGUGGCGAACGGGUGAGUAACACGUGAGGAACCUGCCCCGAAGACCGGGAUAACCCUCCGAAAGGAGAGCUAAUACCGGAUACCCCCACCUGAUCGCAUGAUCGGGUGAGGAAAUGGAUUCCGCUUCGGGAGGGCCUCGCGGCCUAUCAGCUUGUUGGUGGGGUAACGGCCCACCAAGGCAUCGACGGGUAGCUGGUCUGAGAGGACGAUCAGCCACACUGGGACUGAGACACGGCCCAGACUCCUACGGGAGGCAGCAGUGGGGAAUCUUGCGCAAUGGGCGAAAGCCUGACGCAGCAACGCCGCGUGGGGAUGAAGGCUCUCGGGUUGUAAACCCCUUUCAGCAGGGACGAAUCAAGACGGUACCUGCAGAAGAAGCCCCGG
rnacentral:rRNA from 1 species